AGCAGCCGCGGUAAUUCCAGCUCCAAUAGCGUAUAUUAAAGUUGUUGCAGUUAAAAAGCUCGUAGUUGAAUUUCGAGAUCAAAUUGUUGGUCGUGCCUCGGUACGUACUGGCAAUUUUGGUUUCUCCCUUCUGAAGAACCAUGAUGUCAUUAAUUUGGUGUCUUGGGGAAUCAGGACUGUUACUUUGAAAAAAUUAGAGUGUUUAAAGCAGGCUCGCGCUUGAAUACAUUAGCAUGGAAUAACGAAAUAGGACGUUUGAUUCUAUUUUGUUGGUUUCUAGGAUCGACGUAAUGAUUAAUAGGGAUAGUUGGGGGCAUUAGUAUUCAAUUGUCAGAGGUGAAAUUCUUGGAUUUAUUGAAGACUAACUACUGCGAAAGCAAUUUGCCAAGGAUGUUUUCAUUAAUCAAGAACGAAAAGUUAGGGGAAUCGAAGACGAUCAGAUACCGUCGUAGUCUUAACCAUAAACUAUGCCGACUAGGGAUCGGAUGAUGUUAAUUUUUAAUGUACUUCAUUCGGCGCC
rnacentral:rRNA from 1 species